AUCCAUUCAUCCCUCUCUAUCCAUCCACCCCUCUCUAUCCAUCCCUCUCUCCCUCUCUAUCCAUCCUUCCCUCCCUAUCCAUCCCUCCCUCCCUCUCUAUCCAUCCAUCCCUCCCUCUCUAUCCAUCCAUCCCUCUAUCCAUUCAUCCAUCCAUCCCUCCCGAUCCAUCCCUCCCUAUCCAUCGAUCCAUUCAUCCAUCCCUAUCUAUGCCUAUCCAUCCACCCUUCUCUCUCCAUCCAUCCAUCCCUCCCUCCUUUAUCCAUCCAUCCAUCCAUAUUUUUCUUUUGAGAGUAAGAAUACACUGG